rnacentral:rRNA from 1 species
UAGGGAAUCUUCCGCAAUGGGCGAAAGCCUGACGGAGCAACGCCGCGUGAGUGAUGAAGGUCUUCGGAUCGUAAAACUCUGUUAUUAGGGAAGAACAAAUGUGUAAGUAACUAUGCACGUCUUGACGGUACCUAAUCAGAAAGCCACGGCUAACUACGUGCCAGCAGCCGCGGUAAUACGUAGGUGGCAAGCGUUAUCCGGAAUUAUUGGGCGUAAAGCGCGCGUAGGCGGUUUUUUAAGUCUGAUGUGAAAGCACACGGCUCAACCGUGGAGGGUCAUUGGAAACUGGAAAACUUGAGUGCAGAAGAGGAAAGUGGAAUUCCAUGUGUAGCAGUGAAAUGCGCAGAGAUAUGGAGGAACACCAGUGGCGAAGGCGACUUUCUGGUCUGUAACUGACGCUGAUGUGCGAAAGCGUGGGGAUCAAACAGG